AGAGUUUGAUCCUGGCUCAGAUCGAACGUUAGCGGCGCGCCUAACACAUGCAAGUCGAGCGAGAACGAAACAUGUUCCUGUUUGCGGCGCACGGGUGAGUAACACAUAAGUAAUCUGCCUCGAGGUGGUGGAUAACCUUCCCAAAGGAGGGCUAUUACAUCAUGAGACCUCGCUCUCGAAGAAGAAUGAGGUUAAUCCCGGCCUCUUAUACCUUUUCUGGCGCCCCAAGACUAACCUGCUGCCCAUCAUGGUAAUUGGUUAGGUAACGGACUACCAAGCCUAGGACUGAUAGCUGGUCUGACACGAUGAUCACUCACACUGGAACUGAAACCCUGCCCAAACUCCUACUGGAGGCUUCUGUGCGGAAUCUUGCACCCUGAUCCAAAGCCUGACCCAGCGACACCACGGGAUUGAUGAUGGCCUUCUCUUUGUAAAGCUCUGAGGAGGGUGACAAUAUAAGUUUGGCUAACUUCCAGCUCGAUGACAGUACCCCUUUACCAAGCACCUGCUAACUCUGUGCCAACUACCUCGGUAGCACACAUGGUGCAAACUUUGUUCGCAUUUACUGUGCGUAAACCGCGUGUAGGCUGCUCUGAGAGACGGAUGUGAUAGCCCUGGGC
rnacentral:rRNA from 1 species